GCUCAACCGACUGAGCCACCCAGGCGCCCCCUUCACUACUAUCUUUAAUGCACAAAUUCUCACUCUGUGUCCAGUCAGUGUAGAGUUGACUUUGUUAGAAGAGUCAGAUGCAGUCAUGUGACAUGCUUUGGCCAAUGGAAUGUGAGUUGAAAUUACCGGCUUCACCACACUGUCUGUCUUCCCUUAUAUCACAGCAAUGACAAAUGAUCCAGAGGGCACUGGCCCAUUAGCCUGGAACCUGGAGUAAGAAUGAUGUAGAACAGAACCCCCUCUGGCCCACCAUGGACUAGAAGCAUUGAAAACAAAGAGAAGGAACUGAAUGAUUUCACCUACCAAGAACAGAGCACAGUAGCCAACUCUUAAUCAGACAAAGGACAGUGGCAGAAUAGGCAGGGCCCCAGGCAAGGCACACCAGUGGAGCACACAGCCUUCUGUACAGCCAGCCUCCCACCACCUCUCCCACCAGGAUUAUUGGUCUUCACAAGCCAUGCUGCACUGCUGGGGUUUGUAUUCCUGUGCAUAAGACAAGGUCCCUGAACUGUACACACAGCAGAUACGUAUCAAUGCCAGGAAGUGUUAUCACCACACACUGCCUGCGUCAUGAGCCAUGAGCAAGGCCAGCUGCUCAUGAGUGGAAUUUUCUAGUUAUCUGAGCUCUCAAAAAUGCAAAGUACUGCUGAGUUCCUUGGAGACUCAAAUUGGAUUUCUCUUGUUUUCUUUUUUCCAAAUUCAGGGAUCAAGUUGGGGUAGCAAUUUGGGUAUUUUGUUCAAGGGCCUAGGAAGUAAACUGAUGUACUUUCUGCAAACCCUCUUCCUGCCUCCAUGCCUACUGUCUCAUACACAUAACAGAUCUUUAGUGAUUCAAUUCUAUACCAUUCACUUAAUAUUUAGUGAGUCUCUCCUAAAAUAAGCUAGUUACUGGAGAUAAGGCAGUAAACCAGACAGAUUUGAUUUGGAUUAGUUGGCUAACA